rnacentral:rRNA from 1 species
UGAGUACGAGACGCUAAGGCGUCGAAGUAGUGGAUGUCAUACUUCCAAGAAAAGCUUGCACUGUCAUAAAUAAAAGACGCCUGUACCAUAACCGACACAGGUGGGUAGGUAGAGUAUACUAAGGGGCGCGAGAUAACUCUCUCUAAGGAACUCGGCAAAAUAACUCCGUAACUUCGGGAGAAGGAGUGCCUUAUUCGUAAGGCUGCAAUAACAAGAUCCAAGCAACUGUUUAUCAAAAACACAGGUCUCCGCUAAGUCGUAAGACGAUGUAUGGGGGCUGACGCCUGCCCAGUGCCAGAAGGUUAAAGAAGUCGGUUAGCAUUAGCGAAGCUGGUAACUGAAGCCCUGGUGAACGGCGGCCGUAACUAUAACGGUCCUAAGGUAGCGAAAUUCCUUGUCGGGUAAGUUCCGACCCGCACGAAAGGCGUAAUGAUUUGGAUACUGUCUCGGAGAGGGGCUCGGUGAAAUAGACUUGUCUGUGAAGAUGCGGACUACCUGCACCAGGACAGAAAGACCCUAUGAAGCUUUACUGUAACUUGAAAUUGAAAUUGGACUUUAUUCGCGCAGUAUAGGUGGGAGGUGUUGAUUAUAAUCUUGCGGGAUUAUUGGAGCCAUCAGUGAGAUACCACUCUUGUAAUGUUAGAUUUCUAACUUUGAAUCAUUAUCUGGUCAAAGAACAGUUUCAGGCGGGCAGUUUGACUGGGGCGGUCGCCUCCUAAAUGGUAACGGAGGCGUACAAAGGUUUCCUCUGAACGGGUAGAAAUCGUAUCUAGAGUGUAAAGGCAUAAGGAAGCUUGACUGUGAGACCUACAAGUCGAGCAGGGACGAAAGUCGGUCUUAGUGAUCUGACGGUACUGAGUGGAAAGGCCGUCACUCAACGGAUAAAAGUUACUCUAGGAUAACAGGCUGAUCUCCCCCAAGAGUUCACAUCGACGGGGAGGUUUGGCACCUCGAUGUCGGCUCAUCGCAUCCUGGGGCGGUAGUAGGUCCCAAGGGUUGGGCUGUUCGCCCAUGAAAGCGGUACGCGAGCUGGGUUCAGAACGUCGUGAGACAGUUCGGUCCAUAUCCGGUGUAGGCGUUAGAAUAUUGAGAGGAGCCUUCUUUAGUACGAGAGGACCGAGAAGGACAUACCUCUGGUGUACCAGUUAUCGUGCCAACGGUAAACGCUGGGUAGCUAUGUAUGGAGUGGAUAACCGCUGAAAGCAUCUAAGUGGGAAGCCCACCUCAAGAUAAGUAUUCUCAUC